rnacentral:tRNA from 1 species
AUUUACUUAAUAUAAAUAGUAUAAUUAGCUUCCAACUAAAAAGUUCAUAAACUUGAAGUGAAUA